rnacentral:rRNA from 1 species
UACAGAGGGGGCAAGCGUUGUUCGGAAUUACUGGGCGUAAAGGGCGCGUAGGCGGCCUUCUAAGUCGAACGUGAAAUCCCCGGGCUCAACCCGGGAACUGCGUCCGAUACUGGAAGGCUUGAAUCCGGGAGAGGGAUGUGGAAUUCCAGGUGUAGCGGUGAAAUGCGUAGAUAUUGGGAAGAACAUCAGUGGCGAAAGCGCUCUACUGGACCUUAUCUGACAUUGAGGGACGAAAGCUAGGGGAGCGAAUGGG